rnacentral:rRNA from 1 species
AAUUAACGCUGGCGGCAUGCCUAACACAUGCAAGUCGAGCGAGAAACCGCCCUUCGGGGUUGGAGUACAGCGGCGCACGGGUGAGUAGCGCGUGGGUAAUCUACCUUUAUCUGGGGGAUAACACACCGAAAGGUGUGCUAAUACCGCAUAAACCGGCCAACCUGCGGGGAAGUCGGGAAAGAUGGCCUCUUAACAAAGCUGUCGGAUGAAGAUGAGCCCGCGUCCCAUUAGCUUGUUGGUAGGGUAACGGCCUACCAAGGCGACGAUGGGUAGCUGGUCUGAGAGGACGACCAGCCACACUGGAACUGGUACACGGUCCAGACUCCUACGGGUGGCAG